AGAACGGUAAGCUGCAAGUAGAAUUUGCGAGCGUAUGUUUGGUUGUUAUAAGAUGACAGCCAUUACUAUUUCACCGGCUGCACAGGGAAUUAUUCAAGUUGUAAAUGAAAGUAAUUUAUGUAAAAUUGAAAGCUUCCUCAAUGACACGGCAUAUAGAGAAGCCAUUGAAAAUUCUUCAAACUAUAAUAGCCGAUUAUGCAGAGAACGACGUUUACGUAUGCCUUUCCUCGAUUCUCAAACAGGUAGUGUAGCACAAAAUCACUCUGCGUUAUUUAUGUCUUCAAGAGAAAGGUUACCUGGUUUAUUACAUGGUCAAAUAUACACAUAUCCUAGUAAAAGAUGGAGGAAAAAACGACGACAAUAUUUAAUGCAUUAUUUGCAUCCAAAAAGAGGACCAAGAGGAGAUACUGAAGAUGGCAAUGAAGGUGUAGAGACUGUUACACAUGUAAAUGAUGAUAGUAAAGAUUCAGUAGCUCUCAAAGAUGAACAUAGUAAAGAUGCAUGGUACUAUGAUGAGCAAGAUAUGUUAGAUAUGGACACAUAUGAAGAACCUGAUGCUGAAAGUGAUUAUGAUUAUGAAGAAAGUUAUAGCAGUAAAAGAAAAAGAAGAAAACCACGUGGAGGUGGUCAUCAUCCUGCACGAAAUCAUCCCUCUUCCACAGAUAGUCCUGGGGGUAAACGUACUAAGGGUGGGGGACGCGGGCGCAAAAAAACCAACUAUGAUGCCGUUGACACUGAUAAGCCAUUCGUUUGUGACCUAUGCAGCGCACGGUAUAAAACCAGACCUGGUCUGGUCUACCAUUACGGUCAUUCCCACUCUACUUCCUCCGGUGAUCCUGCUAAGGAACUAAGUCCCAGUCCUGCCGAAGUUGAACCUAGGAGCGUUGCAGACACCGCUGCUUCGAACCAGCCAGGUGGUACACGUCGGGGUCGUCAGAAUGCAACUUCGUCGAGUACGUCGAGUCCCUCUCCCGCAGCGCCCUCUGCGACCGCUGCGGGAGCAUCGGUGCAGCCACAGCCGCAAUCGCAACCGGCGCAGCCUCCAUCGCAACAGUCUCAGCAGCAGCAACAGCAGCAACCAUCGCAACAGUCGCAGCAACCGUCGCAGCAGCAGCAACUGCCCGCGGUACCACCGACGGUAGCACCAGCUUCACCUACGAUACCGGUCGUGAAGGAAGAACAUCUACCAGCUGUGCCUUCUCCAGGGACGGCAGUCCCCUCGCCUUCUUCCGUGAGAGCGGAGGGCCCACCGACGCCAGGGACAAAUGAAAAAAAAGCUGGAAAGUCCGCGCAACCGUCCCCAUACUGCGACUUCUGUUUGGGCGAUGCUAGGGAAAAUAAAAAGACCGGCGGUUCCGAGGAGUUGGUCUCUUGCAGUGAUUGCGGUCGCUCAGGUAAGCCAGAGGAAAAGAUCAAGCGCAAAUAUACGCGGAGAAUGAAUCAUAAUUAAGAUUAUCCCGGUCACUGAAGUCCGUUUGUUGCGUUUUGACGCAACGGACAUUAACGUGUUCCGGUGUUGAUGAUCGUGAUGUAUCGUGUUCGUUAGUCGAACAUUAGCAACCGGAGAUGUAGCUCUUCUCGUUUUUCGAUGAUCUAUCGCGCUAUCGGUUGUGUAUGUGGGGACGAAUAUUUUAUUUGGAUUGAUUAAUAUGGCAUCCGACUUGUUUGCAAUUCACAGCGAACAUGAUCGUUUCUGUUCGCAAGUACAGGUGGCAGUGUAUCGA